UCCUGAGAGAUGUCUACACAGCUUACUCUAGACUGCCUGGCCAAGACAAAGUGUAUGUGCAGGACAUCCUGCAGAGGCAGCUGGAGGCCCGCGUGUGCGAGGUGCUGCAGGUGCAGCAGGGCCACAUCUACGUGUGCGGGGACGUGCGCAUGGCGCGGGACGUGGCGCGGGCGCUGCAGGCGCUGCUCGCCCGGGCCCUGCGCCUCAGCCAGCAGCAGGCAAACGAGUACUUCCAGCAGCUCAAGAGCCAAAAGCGAUACCAUGAAGAUAUAUUUGGGGCUGUGUUCCCACAUGAAGUCAAAAGAGCUUUGCAACCCAGCAGCUGAAUACCAAAUCCACUUGUGUUUUAGACAACAUUUGCACAUUUGUUGUUAUUUUCAAAAAACAAAGAGUCAAAUCCUCCUUCUUAUACUUGUUCAAUCAUGAAUGUGUAUAGGAUUGUAGGAUUUCACUCUUAAACCUCAGUCUUAAUUAAGUAAAAUAUUAAAUUUAACUUCCGUUGCUAUUUAUUCUGACAUGCUUUUAAUACAUUAUCUGAAUAGUGAAGGUGCAAAUUAUUUUUUAAUACCAUCUAUGCUAGUAUAAAUCUGGUGGUUUUUGUACAUACAAGGAAAAUGUAGAGUUUUGUACUAAGUUAACUAGGGCUGAAAUCUUUUUUUAAAAUGUACUGUUAAUCUUUGUGGCCUUAUUUAUAUCAGAUUGGUUUACUUGCAUAUUAUCUUCACUUGAAAGCAAGUGAAUGGAUGGUUAUGUUGCUGGGAGCUGUCUGGCCAGGUGCUUGGAUCUGGAGCAAUGUUUGCAAAUGGGAUAAUAAUGUACUGGUCCCCAAGUGGCAACACCUGCUGCAUCCACCUCAGAUGUAUCUGCUCAGCAGGUAGCAGUGGUGAAUUCUGCUUUGUGGGACUCAGGUACAUGAACCUCAGCUGUUGUUACAGAGCUUGUAGCAGGAAGGUUCUAAAAAUUCAAAAGCACUUUGUACAUUUGAAUUCUAUGCUCCGGUUUACUUGAUUUGUUUGUAAUAAAAUCUGCCUUUAUACUGAGACA
rnacentral:lncRNA from 1 species